AGUCCUUGAGCUUGCAAGGCAGGUGGCAGAGCCACUAAGCUAAAUCCCUGGCCCUCAAAGCUGCUCUUAAGCCAGACUGUGACACCUGAUCCUCUUACAACUACAGACCUGACCUGGCAUCUGCAGGAGCCAGGUGCCUUGAGGGGUAGCCUGGUGGACAGCCAGCCUCUUCUCACACUGAAGGGACAGGGUAGACCGACCAACUGCCUAAAGGGGACACAGCUGUGGUCUCAACCCAACCCUGAGAGUACCUGUGACAUCCCUCGGCUCCCCACGAUCCCUGGAUUGCAAAAUAAUCUGGAAAUGCAAUACAUCCCCGGUCAGGACGACACAAGAUUCCUACAGGAUGUGAACAAGCCAACACCAGAGUCUCAGAGGAAUGAAAGGAAUUUGUUCUGGCCAGUAUCAGAACCUACAGGAACUGCAGAAAGUAAGAAUGAGUAGAGGCCCAGGGAUUUAGCUCAGUGGUUCCGCCGCCUGUCUCACAAGCGCAAGGUCCUGAGUUUGAUCCCCAGUACCAAAAAAGAAAAAGAAUGAGUACAACAAUGACACUAAUGACAGAAGCAAGGUGGAGCCUGGGGGCAGCAAACACCUGACUUAUGACAGGAAAAGGUAGAUUUGUGCCCCUCAUAUCCCUCACAGAGACCUGUAAACGGAUCAAAGCCUACGAGCUAAGCUAGACAACCCCACAGAACACGAAACCAGACAAGACCAGCCAGCCAGAUAGGUCAGGAGACACAAGCCAUGGGACAGAAGUCUUUACCACAAGAGACCUCUAUUCACUGAACCCUCCCAAAGAUGGAAAAAGACGUGCAGAGAGCAUACAUAUUGCCUGUGACUCAACACUCAAGAUUUAUGAAGAGCCCUGCAAACCUGUAAAAAAACCCAACUAACACACAGGAAAGUCUCACAGAAAAGGAAGGGUAACUGGCCAAAAUGUACAUGAUGG
rnacentral:lncRNA from 1 species